rnacentral:lncRNA from 1 species
CCUGAAUGCCGGCCAGCUGUUGCAGAUCGAGCCACUCAAACAUGUCCUGCUCCAACAGGGCAAUGCGCCUGCAGAUGGCGUCGGGUUCCGCCGCGACCCAGCCGGCGCGUACCGCCUCGUUGACGAGUGCGUUGCCGUGAAGCAUCACCUGGCGGUAGGCCUGCUCAAUCUCUUGGCCGCUGGCCGCCACCUGGCUCGCUGCACUCUGUUGGGCGCCCAUCCUCUCUCUCUCUGUGUCUUUUUCCUGUCGCUCUUCUUCUCUCGAUCGGUGGGCUCUCGGUUACUUUUCUUUUCGCUCGGAAUCGCUGUUUGGUGGCGACAACAGAGGACAAGGGCAGACGGCAAGGGAAAACGCUCGCGUGCGUACGUCUGUGCGCAGAGAUUUUUCGGAUGCGCCGCGGCAAAAAAAUGCCGGCGCGAUGGCAAACAGAGAAAAGAGACGGGAAAACUUUUUUAAUGUAUUGUCUGG